UGUUCUUAUUAAUGUUCUUGUUGUUAUUGUUGUUCUUAUUGUUCUUGUUGUUCUUGUUGUUCUUGUCAUUGUUAUUGUUGUUCUUGUUGUUAUUGUUGAUCUUAUUGUUCUUGUUGUUCUUGUUGUUCUUGUCAUUGUUAUUGUUGUUCUUGUUGUUCUUGUUCUUGUUCUUGUUCUUGUUGUUCUUGUUCUUGUUGUUCUUGUUCUUGUUGUACUUGUUAUUCUUGUUUUUCCGGUUGUUGUUCUUGUUGUACUUAUUGUUAUUGUUGUUC
rnacentral:lncRNA from 1 species